rnacentral:lncRNA from 1 species
AGCUGGGCCAAAAGGAGGAAAGCACAUUUAACAGCCCCUUUGUGUGGACUCUGGUUCCAGAAGCACUUCUGGGAAAGCUGCUGGGAAGAUGGUGGACAUCCAGACCAAGUAUGCUUCCACAAAGCAGUUCAUAAUCUUUUGAAAGAAGAAAUGAAUGGGUUCUACCAGGAGAAACUGACAAAGGAGAAGCUCCUUAUGUACUACAAGAAUGGUGGAUGUUCAGAUUGGCUACCUUCUCACCCUGGGAGAGUGUAGGCCCCUGGACAAGACAGUAUGCUUUAAUGUGCUCAAGGUCAUAAGAAGCAGUUCCAGAAGUUCUGAAGCAUGCAGGACUGUCAGGAGUCAGCUCAUGUAAUUCCAGAACGUCUCAAGUACAAGACAGCUCUGUUGCCUAAAAACAGAGGAAGGAGUUACUCCUAUAAUAAUUCCAUUACCAUUCCAGCCACCAUUGACUGAACCUGAGAGUUCAACCUCAGAAUCAAUUGGAGAGGAGAAAAAAACCCCACCAAGUUCAAGAACUCUUAAAAUUCUCCAGAGCCCUUCCUGUUCUCUUCACCUCCAAAUGCAGCAUUCAGGGUAAUUAAAUGGGUUGUUUGCGAAUGUUGGUCAUUCCUUACAAACCAUGGGUGUGGGACUUUUGGAGAAGCAUGCUAAUCAACAAGGCUAUACAUGGAACAAAGUGAUUUGCUCUGGAUCUCCAUAGAGAAUAGGCAUAGACUGACCAAAGAAAGAAAGUUUUGUGUUUCCCUAUUUCCUUAUUUGUAGGCAUGCAAUGCAUAUUCUCUAUGUAGUUGGUUCACUAUUCAAAUAAAUAACGACAAAACUUAAUACUCAUU